AUUGAACGCUGGCGGCGUGCUUAACACAUGCAAGUCGAUCGGUAACAGGUGUAGCAAUACAUGCUGACGAGAGGCGGACGGGUGAGUAAUGCUUGGGAAUCUGCCUAUUAGUGGGGGACAACCCGGGGAAACUCGGGCUAAUACCGCAUACGCUCUACGGAGGAAAGCCGGGGACCGCAAGGCCUGGCGCUAAUAGAUGAGCCCAAGUCGGAUUAGCUAGUUGGUAGGGAACGGCCUACCAAGGCGACAAUCCGUAGCUGGUCUGAGAGGACGACCAGCCACACCGGAACUGAGACACGGUCCGGACUCCUACGGGAGGCAGCAGUGGGGAAUAUUGGACAAUGGGGGCAACCCUGAUCCAGCGACGCCGCGUGGGUGAAGAAGGCCUGCGGGUUGUAAACCUCUUUCAGCUCCGACGAAGCGAGAGUGACGGUAGGAGCAGAAG
rnacentral:rRNA from 1 species